rnacentral:rRNA from 1 species
AGAGUUUGAUCCUGGCUCAGGACGAACGCUGGCGGCGUGCCUAACACAUGCAAGUCGAGCGGAGAAGGCAUUCAUGUCUUUUCAGCGGCGGACGGGUGAGUAACACGUGGGUAACCUGCCUCGAAAUGGGGGAUAGCCUUCCGAAAGGAAGAUUAAUACCGCAUAACCUCGGAUCUCCGCAUGGAGGACCGAGAAAAGGAGAAAUCCGUUUCGAGAUGGACCCGCGGCGCAUUAGCUAGUUGGUGAGGUAACGGCCCACCAAGGCGACGAUGCGUAGCCGACCUGAGAGGGUGAUCGGCCACAUUGGAACUGAGACACGGACCAGACUCCUACGGGAGGCAGCAGUGAGGAAUAUUGGUCAAUGGGCGCAAGCCUGACGCAGCAACGCCGCGUGAGUGAUGAAGGCCCUCGGGUCGUAAAGCUCUGUCAGAGGGGAAGAACCGCCGGGUGGCUAAUACCUGCCUGGUCUGACGGUACCCUCAAAGGAAGCACCGGCUAACUCCGUGCCAGCAGCCGCGGUAAUACGGAGGGUGCAAGCGUUGUUCGGAAUUAUUGGGCGUAAAGCGCGUGUAGGCGGUUUGUUAAGUCUGGUGUGAAAGCCCUGGGCUCAACCUGGGAAGUGCAUUGGAUACUGGCAAACUUGAGUACGGGAGAGGAUAGUGGAAUUUCGAGUGUAGGGGUGAAAUCCGUAGAUAUUCGAAGGAACACCGGUGGCGAAGGCGGCUAUCUGGACCGAUACUGACGCUGAGACGCGAAAGCGUGGGGAGCAAACAGGAUUAGAUACCCUGGUAGUCC